rnacentral:rRNA from 1 species
CCUACGGGAGGCAGCAGUGGGGAAUAUUGGGCAAUGGGCGCAAGCCUGACCCAGCAACGCCGCGUGAAGGAAGAAGGCUUUCGGGUUGUAAACUUCUUUUCUCAGGGACGAAGCAAGUGACGGUACCUGCGGAAUAAGCCACGCCUAACUACGUGCCAGCAGCAGCGGUAAUACGUAGGCGGCAAGCGUUAGCCGGAUUUACUGGGUGUAAAGGGCGUGUAGGCGGGACUGCAAAUCAGAUGUGAAAACCAUGGGUUCAACCUAUGGCCUGCAUUUGAAACUGUAGUUCUUGAGUACUGGAGAGGCAGACGGAAUUACUAGUGUAGCGGUGAAAUGCGUAGAUAUUAGGAGGAACACCAGUGGCGAAGGCGGUCUGCUGGACAGCAACUGACGCUGAGGCGCGAAAGCGUGGGGAGCAAACAGGAUUAGAUACCCGGGUAGUC